UCUCUGAGGAGAAAAUGAGAAAAUGUGCUCCCAGUGAAGUAAUUACGAAUCUACAUGUUUUCUCCCAAAAACUUUCAAGACAAAAGUGUAGUGCAAAAAGCCUUUGCUGUUGUGUCUACUCCAUCCAGUGUUUAGACACAGCAGGAUAAAUGAGGUGUUUGUUGUGUCUACUCCACCCAGUGUUUAGACACAGCCAGAUAAAUGAGGUGUUUGUCGUGUCUACUCCAUCCAGUGUUUAGACACAGCCAGAUAAAUGAGGUGUUUGUUGUGUCUACUCCAUCCAGUGUUUAGACACAGCCAGAUAAAUGAGGUGUUUGUUGUGUCUACUCCAUCCAGUGUUUAGACACAGCCAGAUAAAUGAGGUGUUUGUUGUGUCUACUCCACCCAGUGUUUAGACACAGCCAGAUAAAUGAGGUGUUUGUUGUGUCUACUCCAUCCAGUGUUUAGACACAGCCAGAUAAAUGAGGUGUUUGUUGUGUCUACUCCAUCCAGUGUUUAGACACAGCCAGGUAAAUGAGGUGUUUGUUGUGUCUACUCCACCCAGUGUUUAGACACAGCCAGAUAAAUGAGGUGUUUGUUGUGUCUACUCCAUCCAGUGUUUAGACACAGCCAGGUAAAUGAGGUGUUUGUUGUGUCUACUCCACCCAGUGUUUAGACACAGCCAGAUAAAUGAGGUGUUUGUUGUGUCUACUCCACCCAGUGUUUCGACACAGCCAGAUAAAUGAGGUGUUUGUUGUGUCUACUCCACCCAGUGUUUCGACACAGCCAGAUAAAUGAGGUGUUUGUUGUUCUCG